AAUAUAUUAUUUGAAUUAUUUGGAGGAAGAUUAUUAAUUAAAGUAAUUUUUAGAAAUAUGUAUUAGUAUAGUUUAUAGAAUUUAUGAAGUGAAUUAUAGAGUAGUAGUACUGUAGGGGAAAUAUGAAAUAGAUGAAACAGUUAUUAGGAUAGAAGAAGAAUAUAAUUUGUACCUUGGGUAUCAGGGUUUAUUAAAUAAUGAUAGUGAUUUAUAGUUCUCGAAUUGAAAAGAGUUAAAAUAGUAUAGUAGUUAAUGUAGUAUUGUUAUUAUGAAUAUUAUUUUAGGAAUGAAAUGUUAGACGUUUUUUAAGUUAUCUAGUUUCCUAAGAAAUGAAUUUAAUUCAUGUUAUUAGAAGUAAACAUUAAUUUUGUAAUUAAUGGUUUAUUUUUAGUAACAAAUAUAUAAAGGGAUAAGCUUUUAUAUAAAUUUUUUAUAAAUUGUGGGAGUUACAAAAAGUAGUAGACUUUAAAUUAGUCAUCUAUGAGAUAAUGUUAUAAAUUGUUUUGUGAAUAAGGUUAUUUUUAAUAAUUUUAAAUUAUUUAUUAGGAUAUUAUAUUGAAUAGAUUAAUAUAAGUAAUGAUGAUAAAAUGAGUAUAAUUAUAAUUGUUUAUUUAAAUUUAUAUGAGAAUUUGUAGUAAGGAACUAGGCAAAUUAUCACUCGCCUGUUUAUCAAAAACAUCUCUUUUUGGUUAUAUAUAAGGUAGGGCCUGCCCACUGAAGUGUUUGAAGGGCCGCGGUAUUAUGACUGUGCAAAGGUAGCAUAAUCAUUAGUCUUUUAAUUGAAGGCUGGAAUGAAUGGUUUGACGAGGUGAUAACUGUCUCAUUACAAUAGAUAGAAGUUAACUUUUAAGUUAAAAGGCUUAAAUUUUAAUGGAGGACGAGAAGACCCUAUAGAGCUUUAUACAUAGAUUUAAGCUUGGGUUUAGAAGUGUUUAAGGGUUUAGGUUAAUUGUAUUGUGUUGGGGUGACAUAAAGAUAGAAUUAACUCUUUAUUUUGACUACAUUGAUGAAUGGGUGAUCGAUCCAUUUUUAGUGAUUAUAAGAUAAAGUUACCUUAGGGAUAACAGCGUAAUUUUUCUUGAGAGUUCAUAUCAACAGAGAAGAUUGCGACCUCGAUGUUGGAUUAAGGAAUAUAAUUAGAUGCAGCAGUUUAAUUAAUGGGUCUGUUCGACCUUUAAAUCCUUACAUGAUCUGAGUUCAGACCGGUGUAAGCCAGGUCGGUUUCUAUCCUUAUUGAAUUUUUAUACUUUAGUACGAAAGGACCAGGUAUUAUAAAUAUUUUAUGAAAGAUUGAUUAUUCGUA
rnacentral:rRNA from 1 species